rnacentral:lncRNA from 1 species
UGAAAACACACAAACUCUUUCGAGUUUCAAUAGUGUCAAGAACAUGAGCUAUGUGUGCAAGAUGAUUACUUUCAUAAGUUAUUUUCAUGACCUUAAGCUCCAAAUCUCUAAACCAUAUUUAAACACCUAUUAAACUCGAAAUCGAACACAUUCAACUUUCUAGUCUCAACAACCUCGUCACAUUGGAUAAAUCGGAAAGCAUAUGCAAUUUUGUGAGUAUACUCGAACCCAUUUUUUACUUUUAACACUUUGGGUGCAACAUGUAUUCUAUAUUAAACGCACAUGACACUUGAAACUUAUUUGAAACUUACUCUAUCCAUUUAACAUGAAACAUGAAACUUGUGAAUCUUAAGACUAUUUUGUGCUAUGUGAACGUUUAAUUCUUGUGUGUAGUUCCGCCUUAACAAUAGUAGCGCUAUAGGAGUAAUGCACCUCCCCGUUAGUCUUUGGGGUAUUGUUAGGAGGAGACAUAUCAACCUCCCGUGAAACUUUGGGUUAGGUACUUUAACGCAUUGGGAAACUUGGGCUAUCACUUGGACUACGUAAACUAGCACGUUGAAACUAUUUUAUUAUGUUCAUGUUGGAUUGAGUCUUUUAUUCUAUUAUGCUAUGUAACCAAACUUGUAUACUCGCUCUUUGCUUUUGCAUUGAAACUCUAUUUUAAUACAUGCUGCAGGUUGUUAGACAAGACGAUGAAGAAAUCAAGUUAGGAUGGACUUAGAUACUCACUCAAUAAUAAACAAUGUUGUUGCAAUUUGUCUUAUUUGAAACCAUGUAAUUCAAAUUUUAGUUAUUUAUGAAAUUGGAUUUAAAUUAUAUUGUCACAUAGUGUUAUGAUGUCUCUUGCAAUCUUCACACUUCGUCUCAUCCCGAUGUUUCCGCCAUUGGUUGGGGUGUGACAGAAGGGGUAGGGAUAAUGUUUUAUGGGUGAGUGAUCUUCGU